AUUGAACGCUGGCGGCAUGCUUUACACAUGCAAGUCGAACGGAAACAGGCCUUCGGGUGCUGACGAGUGGCGAACGGGUGAGUAAUGCAUCGGAACGUGCCCAGAGGUGGGGGAUAACGCAGCGAAAGCUGUGCUAAUACCGCAUGUGAUCUGAGGAUGAAAGCGGGGGACCAGGCAGCAAUGUUUGGCCUCGCGCCUUUGGAGCGGCCGAUGUCAGAUUAGGUAGUUGGUGGGGUAAAGGCCUACCAAGCCGACGAUCUGUAGCUGGUCUGAGAGGACGACCAGCCACACUGGGACUGAGACACGGCCCAGACUCCUACGGGAGGCAGCAGUGGGGAAUUUUGGACAAUGGGCGCAAGCCUGAUCCAGCAAUGCCGCGUGCGGGAAGAAGGCCUUCGGGUUGUAAACCGCUUUUGUACGGAACGAAAAGGCUCUGGCUAAUACCUGGGGCUGAUGACGGUACCGUAAGAAUAAGCACCGGCUAACUACGUG
rnacentral:rRNA from 1 species